UGUGUGUAAGUGUAUGUGUGUCUGUGUUUUUGCGUUUGAGUGUGCGUGAGGUUCACACACUUUGUGCUGACUGCAGUGAAAGCGGAGGGUCAGGGAUAGUUAGACCUUGUCCUCUCUGCAGACUGAACAACUGGAACAACUCUGAAGAUCUGGGAAACUACAGCAGCUACAUUCACUACUGCGAGUACUGCAGUACAAACCUGAGAUGAUUUUCAACAUCUCUGUUAUUGCUGGGUUUAUGCAUAUCUGAAUAGUCUGCUGGAUGGAGAUGAUGGUACAGAACCUGGAUCAUAACUGUGCCGGUGAAGCUGAAGAGGACCUGGAAAGAACAACCCCAAACAUGCAGCACACUAUGAAACAUCCAGCUGUGCAAGACGAGCAGAAACACCACAGCAGGAAAACUCUGACAUGAAGUUUGAGUGUUCCAGCAGGACAGAGACUCAAAAUCAUAGCCACAGAUCAUCUUCUGUGUUUUUGUUCCUCCUGCGAGUCACUUACGAUGUUUGGAGGGGAAAAUAAAAACUCCCCUUCGGUGUCUUAAAGCUAAAGUAAUGAGCCUGGUUGGAAAAAUGAGAAGAGAGGACAUUGAGAUGUUUGCGUUUAAUGGUGGGACUAAAAUAAAUACUCGAGUAAAUACCAGAAUAUGCAGCUGAAGUACAGUAAUCAGGUAAGUGUACUUUGCUUCCACCUCUGACAGCUUUACUGUAAGUGUGGAAACGUACUGUUUCAUAAUGUUUAGUUUCUUGAAUCAUGAACUAGGGUGUUGCCGAGUUUUCCUGAUCAUCCACAAACACUUUUUCCUGCUCAGAAAAGUGUUGCAGACCUGAAGCACAGUGCACGCUCAUCCUGUGCUUUGGUGCCUUUUUCGUUUUCCUCUUGGCCUGGUGCGUCCUGGCUCUGGUGUGCUCUGGUUUGGCUCUGGGUUUGGGUGGGUCUGACUGUGUGGUUUGACAGGCUCGGUAGUUAGUGCCAGGCUGGGCCUGGGGCUGCUCUGGCCCAGAAUAAUGACUGGAUCCAAGUGGCCAGGCUGCGGGACUGACUGCUGACUCAGAGAGGCUGGCAGAGCAAUUCAGUGAUGUUAUCCAUGAAAGGAACACAGCUGGGAUACAUAAACACGACCGGAUUCAGUUUAAAGGAGACAUAUUUACACAUUAUUCUUUAGGGCUCCACUGCAGACUUUUUUUUUUUUAACUAAAGUUGGGCUAAAAGCUCAGUUUAUCCAGAUUCUUCAGGUAAAAGAACAUAAGUAAUGCUGAGAAAACAAGUUGGCUCAGGCAAGAAGAGAGUAAUGCACAGAGAGAGGAUAUGAACCUUGCAUAUUGUGACUGCGGAGGUUUUUAUUAACCAGCAGUCAGACAUUAAUCAGUGCUGUGAAGUCCAAAGUCCGUCCUAUGUUUGUAAAGCAGGUGCAGAGAAAGCACUGAGAGCCCCGUGACCACACUUUACCAGGAAUCAAACCCACAUCCUCCUCAGGAUGCCUCAACCCUGCAGGGCAUUAAUGCAUGGACACCAUCCAGAGAAAACUUCCCUCGUCUCCUGUGUGGCUUCUAUUAUAAAUACAGGAAUUUUCUCACUGCUGGCUUCGAUCCAAGGUCAGCAGCUUUUAGCACUUUCAGAGCUUUUUGUGGUUAUUCAGAGGAUUUUUCUGAAUGAGCACAGCAAAGUUAUACAGUUAGGACAGGAAAAAUCAAACAUCUGUCUCUCAGUACAGUGCUAACCAUACUGUCUCAGCUGACAGGACAGUGGCCAUAUCACACUUUUAGUGCCUUCACUGAGAGACUAGCACAUGCUGUGUUGUGGGUCAGUAAAGCUCUGGUCAGAGAUGCUCUUCUUCAUUGGUCCACAUGUUUAACCUAAAUCCUUCUGAAGUGAACUUUAAGUCCAAAACGUCUCUGUGUUGAUCUAAAAAGACACAACCAUAAGUCAGACUGGAGCUGCAAGGUUGUAUGGUUUCCAUGGGCCCUGAAUGCAACACAACAGAAAAUACCGCACAACAACAGCAGGGGGUGACUCCUGUGGUCUGACUGUGUAGUCUGUGAGUAAAUGAUCCUGCUUGUCAGCUGAUGUCUGAGCUCAGUAACUGUUUAAAAUCACAGUAAUUUUAAACAUUUACAUCUAUUACUUUGUUGUUUUGGUGUAUUUGACCAUGAUGGAGGUUACUGUCAGGAGAAAAGCUGUAAAACUUAUAAAAACAGUUCAAAGACCAAAAUUUCUGGCCACCUUCACAUUUUUGAAAGCCAUACAUUGGGCCGGACUGAAUUCUUUGGCAGGCCGAUUCUGGCCCCAGGCCUUAUGUUUGUAGCUAAAAGCAUGCACGGUUAGCCAAUCUGUCUGCAGUCAAGUCCAUCCCACAUGAAGCACAUGUGCGUCCUUUAUAUACAGUCUGUGGAGAGUACUGAGAGGUGGAGGAGAUACCGUUUCUAACAUAUAAGGACAGGAAUCAGUGAGUGGGACUACAAACAGUGGCUGAAGCACCUGGAAAGCACCUGAUAUCAGCACCUGUGCUGGCUCCUGCAAAUGAACCAAAGAUAAGAGAAACUUUCGUUCCUGUCCAAGAUCCUGGAGAGACUAGUUCUCUCCCAGCUCCAGGCGUACUUGGACACGAACAAUAUUGCUGAGAAAUUUCAAUCUGCCUUUAAGCCAUUGCAUAGCACUGAAACAGCGUUGGUUAGAGUUCUUAAUGAUAUUCUUGUAAUCACUGAUACUGGACGCUCUAUGGUCCUAGUUUAACUGGACCUCUCUUCGGCCUUUGAUAUGGUGGACCAUAACAUUUUAUUACUAAGACUUGAGCACACUGUGGGUAUUAGAGGCACUGCCCUCGACUGGUUUAAACCAUAUCUCGCUGAUAGAUCCUUAUCAGUUAACUUAGGCACCUUCUCCUCUUCCUCCGCUCCGGUCUGUUGUGGUGUGCCUCAAGGAUCAGUUUUAGGCCCUAUUCUCUUCUCAUUGUAUUUGCUCCCUCUAGGCGCAAUCUUUGAAAAAUACAAUAUUGCCUUCCACUGUUACGCCGAUGACAUACAGAUCUAUUUUGAACUUACUGACGACCUUGCUGUGUCCCUGCACUACUUUCAAGAAUGCAUGCGGGAGGUCAAAGAAUGGUUCCUGAGUAAUUCUCUUGUUUAAAUGAUAAGAAGACUGAGAUUGUGGUGUUCAACAGUAAAAUCUCUCAUGCCCAACUCUGUGCUGCCCUGGGUUCCUUUGCUAGCUUUUCUUGUGACUAUGUCAGUAACUUGGGUGUACUGCUGUGUCAUGGUCCGUGGUCCUGUGUGUGUGUGUGGAAUGUGUGAUGCGCGGGUAACCACACCCCCAGGCUGGGCCAUCACCGGCACACCUGCUCUCCAUCGGGGUGAUUACCUGAAGAGCUACUUAACCCGGCGCUGACGGAUGCUCCACGCCAGUCCAUUAAUCACCUCUCUGUGGUUUCAAUCCGGCGUUCAGCGUCUGCCACCUGCCUGUCCUCCUGCUCAAUUGGAUCACUCGGUGCAUCAUCUGGCCCAUUCACUACCUCCACAGAUUUCCUUCUCACGGACUUCCCUCCCGAGCUCCCACGGUCCCGCUCUAAUCCCUCCCAUGGUCCCGAUUCCAGCUUCCUCGCAUCAUUGUUUCCCCGGGUUUUUUAGUUUCUCGUUUUGCUCCUCUGGUUUUCCCGGGUUGCCUUUUGUUGUUAUAAUAAAGUGUCAUUUUCUGCUAGCGCUUGAGUCUGCAUUUGGACCUUUUUGUGCACGCUCGCUGCAGCGCAUUGCACUGCUGGAUAGCUUGCUCAAACUCAAUAAGCAAGUGUCUGCUGUAGUGAGAUCUAGCUUCCACCAACUGCGCCUUAUCUCUA